rnacentral:rRNA from 1 species
CAGCCGCCGCGGGAAUACGAAGGGUGCAAGCGUUAAUCGGAAUUACUGGGCGUAAAGCGUGCGUAGGUGGUGGUUUAAGUCCGUUGUGAAAGCCCUGGGCUCAACCUGGGAAUUGCAGUGGAUACUGGGUCACUAGAGUGUGGUAGAGGAUAGUGGAAUUUCCGGUGUAGCAGUGAAAUGCGUAGAGAUCGGAAGGAACAUCUGUGGCGAAGGCGACUAUCUGGGCCAACACUGACACUGAGGCACGAAAGCGUGGGGAGCAAACAGGAUUAGAUACCCGGGUAGUCCCUGUCUCUUAUAC